CAGUCUAUGCUCCAGGAAACGGAGAAGCUAGGAAAUGGCUCUAGGGCUGGAUUUGAGGAUCCCAUAUGCACAAUCGCAGCACACCAGGGCAUUCCACGAUGUAACAGCCCUCUCUGCCUCCUGCCUCCACUGAUGCCAAAAUCCACUAACUGCUCAUUAGCAAAGAUACCACUGUGGAAUCACACAAGAGGCUUUCCCAAGGCCACAUGGCUCAUGCAUGCAGGCCAAGCUCAAAUACUGACUCAAAGCCAAAGGCUUGGCCCACCUUCAAGAGAGUCAACAAAUAUCUCCUGAUCAGAACAAGAACAUAUAUUUUCACUUUCUGCAAUCUAAAACUUAUGUAACCUGGAACAUGACUUGGCACCUACUGUUUGCGAGACAUCAUCCAGGGUCCCUUUGUGGAGAUGAGUAAGAGUUGACUUCUGCCCAGCAGCACAUUGCAUUUUUUGGGAAAGGCUAUAGGUAAGCCUAAGUAACCUGAAAGAUUUUUAAAGUAAAGGUUUAAAGAAAUCCAAAGGAAGGAGCAAGCAUGUUUGUUAGCCAGUGGAUAGAGCCCGGAUGAAAGCUGGACAAGACAGAGUUUGUAGGAAGAGUUGGAAGAUCACCAGGUGGAACAAUCAGAAAGAGCACAUGUUUCCUGGGUUUUUAGUGUAGGGUGAGGAGACUGGAUGUCCAGAAGUCAGAGGGCAUGGCAGGGAGAUGGCAAACCAGUGCUUCCCAACUCUAGAACAACGAAGAGCACUUCUCUCUCCAUUCAGAUGCUGUACCAAUCAGGAUCUUUUCUCUGAUACAUUAAAUAGCAAGUACUCAUGGAGCACACUGUGUCUAGAUGCUAGCAAUAGAAUGAAGAAUAAAACAAAGUGUUUACCAUCAUGAAAAUCAUAUUUUAGUGGGAAAGGAUGUAAC
rnacentral:lncRNA from 1 species